UGGUCUCCAGAUGCGAGAAUUUCAGUAUUUGAUUUGAACUUGAUAUGGCACCAAUAGGGUGCGUUUUUUAAUUAUUAUUUUCUGUUUUCUUUAAACUACACCCCCAUUGUUGUUUAGUGUGCUCUUAUGCAGUUCACAUGGGGGAAAGCAUGUCGUGCCAUAUGGAAAAUGUCAACCGUGUUUUUUUUUCUUCUAAAUAGGGUUCAUUCAUUCACACCCCUCCUUCAGCGGCUGCAGGACGAUGGAAGAAAGUGGAAAAUAGAAUGGAUUUGUAUUAACAUCACACAGACUCAGGCCAAGUUUAAACUUUUAAGAACACUUUUAUGUUAAAUAUAAUGGAACGCUUGAAUGUUUAUUAAAAAAACCAACUCAUUGAAAUAUAGAGUGUGCCACAGGGCUGAGAGUUCUCACCCUCAAGACUAUACCUUCUUCAUCAUAAAUUCCUCCCACUUGCUUUAGUCACAUGGAGCCAGUCACAUUCUGUGUUGCUGCUUAACUAUGAGUCUCAGUAAGAAUUUAAAAUAACUUUAUAUGUGUACAAUCCCUUUGGGCGAAACCUAGGUGGUAUAGCGGGUAAGAUCCAUGAUCAGAUCUCCAGACAUUUUUUCCUUUGCUUGGAAGAGGGCAUGAUGAGAACUUAGGAAGAGCCUUGUUAGAUCAAACCACAGGCCAAUCAAGUCUAGCAACGUUUUCUCACAAUGACCAACCCAUACCCUCCAACAUCCAGCAGAGGAAAAUUGGGACGCAUGCCUUUUAGAGCCAUGCUCUUGCCAGAGGACUCGUGCAAGAACCUGCCCCCCCAAAGGGUGUCUUUCAGGGCACUGCUCUUGCGGCAGCCAGGUGACUCGUGUCAGAGCAUGGCCCUCAAAAUGAGGUCACACUCUUGCAGGAGCCAAAACAGGACAUCCUGGGAUGCAAUCAGAAGCCGGGGUGGCUUCUGUAGUUCUGGGAUGUCCUGCUCAAAGCAGGAGAGUUGACAGGUAUGCCAACCAUGUUAAGUAUAAUUGUUUAAAUGUACAACGACAUGGAAAAAGACUCUGUAUGUGUAUUGCUAAUGGUUUAACAUUGGAAAAUUACAUUGAGGUAAGCCAGAGCUCUGUAAGUGCCUAGCAAGUUAAUGGUUAGCUGUUAGUGUACCUCUGCUCUGCUCUCUGACAUAGUGUUUAACUUACUUAGAUCACAUGAGGGGAGGUGUUCAGUUGCAAAUCUCCAUUUUAAGAGAGUUAUCAUUGUUCUCAAGCCACCAAAGACAAAGGUGUACAAAUGAUGUCCCUCCUGGAAAGAAAACAGCUCUAGGUUGUAAUAGAGUCUGUGUGGGUUUUGAUUUCAGUUCCCUUUUGGAGUAAUUUUAUAUUUGUAAGAUGCAGAACCUGUGAUUGGACAAGCACAUGAUUUUAUGUAACUAUUUGGAUGCAUCAUUAUUGUUCUAAGUUUGUUUUGAAGAAAGUUCUGUUAGUAAAGCUUAGAAACUAU